rnacentral:rRNA from 1 species
UACGGGGGGGGUAAGCGUUGUUCGGAAUUACUGGGCGUAAAGGGCUCGUAGGCGGCCAACUAAGUCAUACGUGAAAUCCCUCAGCUUAACUGGGGAACUGCGUGUGAUACUGGAUGGCUUGAGUUUGGGAGAGGGAUGCGGAAUUCCAGGUGUAGCGGUGAAAUGCGUAGAUAUCUGGAGGAACACCGGUGGCGAAGGCGGCAUCCUGGACCAACACUGACACUGAUGAGCGAAAGCCAGGGGAGCAAACGGGG